rnacentral:rRNA from 1 species
UGGGGAAUAUUGCACAAUGGGCGCAAGCCUGAUGCAGCAACGCCGCGUGAGGGACGACGGCCUUCGGGUUGUAAACCUCUUUUAGUAGGGAAGAAGCGAAAGUGACGGUACCUGCAGAAAAAGCACCGGCUAACUACGUGCCAGCAGCCGCGGUAAUACGUAGGGUGCGAGCGUUGUCCGGAAUUAUUGGGCGUAAAGAGCUCGUAGGCGGUCUGUCGCGUCUGCUGUGAAAACCCGAGGCUCAACCUCGGGCCUGCAGUGGGUACGGGCAGACUAGAGUGCGGUAGGGGAGAAUGGAAUUCCUGGUGUAGCGGUGGAAUGCGCAGAUAUCAGGAGGAACACCGAUGGCGAAGGCAGUUCUCUGGGCCGUAACUGACGCUGAGGAGCGAAAGCGUGGGGAGCGAACAGGAUUAGAUACCCUGGUGUCCACGCCGUAAACGUUGGGCGCUAGAUGUGGGGCACCAUUCCACGGUUUCCGUGUCGCAGCUAACGCAUUAAGCGCCCCGCCUGGGGAGUACGGCCGCAAGGCUAAAACU